ACCUUUUUAUGUUAUUUUUGCUUAUAUUUCAUAAAAGGCACAACAUUUUGGGAUUUCCUUUUACGAAUUCCUGCAUUGAGUGAAAUCGCUUUGAAAAAGUGCAAAAUAUUUUUUAUAAUUUGAUAAAAAAUGACACAAUCAAAACUAAGCAUAAUACAGACAAUAAUGGAAGACAUUAUGGAUAUUGAUAAGUAUAGUGAUUUUGAGGACGAUGAGAAUGUAUUGGAAGAAUUGCCAGGUGGCGAAUCAUCUGAAAAGUAUGCUACAUUGCUAGUGAAGAAGAAGACAGUAUUGCUGAAGCUGAUAUAAGUAACAUUCCCGUGUACUUUUCAAAGCAGCAACCAAUAGCACUAGAGCCAGAACAGAAAAUAUAAUUCGGCCCCGGUAACAGUAUAUUCAAUUCAGCGAAUAUCAAAUAUAAAAGAAACAUUUGACCUGUGCUAAAGUUCACCAACAUCGAGGACGCUAAAAAUUGGAGAGAAAUAGAAACCAAUUGAUGAAAUAGAAUUUAAUGGAUUUUUGGGUAUUUUGUUAUUAGGAGAAACAGGCGUUUAUCGGUCGCAGUCUUUGAGAUGAAGUUCAUGGUCGUUUAAUAUUUUGCGUUGUAAUGUCCCUUACAAGGUUUUCGGAAGUAACUUGUGUGCUGAGGUUCGUUAACAGAGAUAAUCGCAGAGCGAGAGUAUAUGAUAAACUUGCUCCAAUUCGGGAUUUUUACGAGAAAAGGAGGCAGAUACUCAUUCUUAGCUUACAUGCUAAGCAAGCCAAGUAAAUACGGGAUAAAGGCAUGGGUAGCAGUGGGUAUGAAUGACGAAAUAUAACAAACAGAUAACUUUUUUACAACUCGAGAUUUGGCAUUACUUUUACUGAAUAAUAAUAUGACAUUGAUGGGCACUAUGAGAAAUAAUAAGACGUUUCUUCUUUGAUGGAUAUCAUCAUUGUUCAACAAAUUCCUAUAAAGUAUACUUGAAAAAUGGUUAGUGAAUUGAGCACUCUUUAUCAUAACAAAAAUCUUAUUGAAAACCAUCCCAAGAAGUUGCAGGAAAUAAAAUAUUUUUAUAAUUCUACAAAAUCUGAAGCAGACAUAAUUGACCAAUUAGUAUAAACAUAUACAUACAUGCAAGAGACAAACUAAUCGUUGUCCCUUAGCUGUCUUCUCGAGUAUUGUGGAUGUUUGUGGAUGUUUCGGCGCUAAAUGGCUAAGUUUUAUGGACAGAAAUUCACUCUAAUUGGAAUGCGUCAAAACAUACUAUAUACGCGAAAAUUUUCUCAAAAACUUGGCCUAUACCUUGUUCAGGGUGAAAGAACUCGUAGAAAACACGUACCUAAUCAAGUAAGGAAGGGCUAAGUUCGGGUGUCACCGAACAUUUUAUACUCUCGCAUGAUAAAGUGAUAAUCGAGAUUUCAUUAUCCGUCAUUUACAUAUUUUUCAAAUACCGUAUUAGUGUAAAGUUUUAUUCCGCUAUCAUCAUUAGUUCCUAAUGUAUAUUAUACAUUAACAUUUUAUACUCUCGCAUGAUAAAGUGAUAAUCGAGAUUUCAUUAUCCGUCAUUUACAUAUUUUUCAAAUACCGUAUUUGUGUAAAGUUUUAUUCCGCUAUCAUCAUUAGUUCCUAAUGUAUAUUAUACAGAGAAGUCAUCAGAUGGAAUUCAAAAUAGCAUUAUAUUGGAAGAAGGCGUGGUUGAGAACCGAUUUCACCAAUAUUUCGUACAUGUCAUCAGGGUGUUAAGAAAGUAUUAUAUACCGAAUUUCAUUGAAAUCGGUAAAAUAGUUCCUGAGAUAUGGUUUUUGGUCCAUAAGUGGGCGAUGCCACGCCCAUUUUAAAUUUUUAAAAAAAGCCUGGGUGCAGCUUCUUUCUGCCAUUUCUUCCGUAAAAUUUAGUGUUUCUGACGUUUUUUGUUAGUUGGUUAACGUUCGUGGUUAUUAUUCGAUUUCUUCCAUUUUUGAACUGUAUAUGAAAAUGCCUGAAGGAAACGACUCUAUAGAGUUUGGUUGACGUAGCUAUAGUAGUUUCCGAGAUAUGUACAAAAACUUAGUAGGGGGCGGGGCCACGCCCACUUUUCCAAAAAAAUUACGUCCAAAUAUACCCCUCCCUAAUGCGAUCC